AAAUCUGUUGAUAUAAAAAGCAUUUAUGGACGACAAGUCUUACAGAAUUUACAAAAUGCAGUGUGUCCUUUUAACCAGAAUAAAAUCUGUCAGAAUAAUUAGAUACUCUUCUCCCUCCCAAAACACGAGCUGAACUGGUCGGUUGGAUUCAACUCGAAAUCUCAUUUAAACCGGACCACACAUACAGAAUGAUGAGAGUGUAAAGACAUGGAGAUCAGAAUAAAGUUACCCUUACUGCUUGAACAGUCAGGCCAUCGAGGUUUUGUUCUCUGUCUGAUUGCUUUAUUGAACUCUUUACUCCAAUUUUGCUUUUCGAAGGGAAAAUCUAUAAUAUAUUUUACUAGCAUUUAUGUCUAUAGUGCCACUUAAACUUUAAAGAAGUACAAAAAUAUUAACUUCGUUAAUACUAAUUUUAGUACUGCCAUUCUGCACAGUAGGGUAAUGAAAAUCUUUGAUAGCUCAAACAAAAAAGGGGUUGAAUAGGAACUUCCACGACGAAAUAAUUUCCAUAUAUGAGUUCACAUACGAACCAGCAUUCCUCUCUCCAGCUAGAUACAAUAUAUUGUAGCUCUAUGGAUAAACGUGAGAAUAAAGCCUUUGAGAUCAUUGCCUUGACCCUCACCAAUCAUCCAUUUAACCAGAUGUGCCAAGAAAAUGUGAAAAAAAGAAAGAAAGAAAGAGUGAAGUAGGCUUUAAAUCUGAAUACCCAAAAAGGAUUUAAGGUCUCUUUUCUUAAACCAUAAUUUGUUUAUAUGCAAACCACUUCACAUGAUGCAAUGAAUCCAAAAACGAUUCUUCUUAACUGAUUGAGAGAUAAUAUUGAGAUACCGUCUUGACACUAUGGACAAUGAUCUUUCAGAUGCAUUUGCAAGUGUGCCACAGCAAGAGAUAGUUGGUUGGUGUCUACUUCACAAGCCUUUGUCUGUUCUGUAACCUCCCUUUUCUCAUGCUUUCACGAGGCUGUAAAAAGAGAGAAGGGGUAGUGUCCAGCGAUCUUGUGCCUAGCUUCAUUAACUCAUAUAUCACUGAAGUACUUAUUUAGCCUCUUAAGUUCCCCCGUCAAAAGUUUAUGGAAAACCUUGAAUUGUGCAAUCCACUUAACUCCAGAAUAUCAAACCUUAACAAAAUAUCCAAGAAACCUAUCAUUGUUAAUCAAGACAUUGAGGAACAUGAAAAGCUUCUAGAGUUUGAGAUCAUUUGGUAUAUCAUGAAUAAUGAUGUGACCACAGCCAGAUAUCCCAGGUGAUCUGAAUUCAGCUCACAGAAAGAAAAAGUAUCAAGCAGUAGUCAUUAACCAUGUUUCAUGCCUAAAGAUCACAGCAUUGCAUCACCAUACAACAUGCUGGAUAACUAAAAAAUCAUGGUGCAUGAUCAACAAUGAUCUUUCACAAUGAUUAACGAAUGAUUAUCUGGUCAGUCAUUCCUCUCUUCUCGUGAACAUUGAAUAUCUUCCCCUCUUCACUAGUAUCAAUUUUGGCCGGAAAAAAAAAAUGAAAAAUGAAAAAAAAAAAA